rnacentral:rRNA from 1 species
UUGCUCUUCAACGAGGAAUGCCUAGUAAGCGCAUGUCAUCAGCAUGCGUUGAUUACGUCCCUGCCCUUUGUACACACCGCCCGUCGCUACUACCGAUUGAAUGGCUCAGUGAGGCCUCCGGACUGGCUCGAAGAGGUUGGCAACGACCACUUCGAGCCGGAAAGCUGGUCAAACUCGGUCAUUUAGAGGAAGUAAAAGUCGUAACAAGGUUUCCGUAGGUGAACCUGCGGAAGGAUCAUUACCGAGUUAGGGCCUGCCUCUUCGGCGCCCGACCUCCCAACCCCGUGUCUACUAUACCUAAUUGUUGCUUCGGUGGGCCGGUCUGAAAGAACACCGCUGGGCCUCUGUGCCUGGAGAGCGCCCGCCGAUGGCCCAAUCUCAAGCUCUUAGCACUAAACCAUGUCGUCUAAAGCAAAAACUAUUUGAUUUAAUCAAAAUUAAAACUUUCAACAACGGAUCUCUUGGUUCUGGCAUCGAUGAAGAACGCAGCGAAAUGCGAUAAGUAAUGCGAAUUGCAGAAUUUCCGUGAGUCAUCGAAUCUUUGAACGCACAUUGCGCCCUUUGGUAUUCCGAAGGGCAUGCCUGUUCGAGCGUCAUUAUCCCCCCUCAAACCUCGUGUUUGGCGUUGGACCCGUGUUGGUUGGCGACGAUCAACUGGUCCCAAAGACAAUGACGGUUCCCGCUGGGACCCUUGGUGCAACGAGCUUCUUUCGAGAGCACGCAUCGGGUGGGAUCCAGCGGGCCGGUCUCCUUAAAAGUUUUUUCUAAAGGUUGACCUCGGAUCAGGUAGGAAUACCCGCUGAACUUAAGCAUAUCAAUAAGCGGAGGA